CCAAUAGACCGCUAGGGUUCCGAUCGGCGCCGCCGAUGCCUGGUCCGAGAGCAGUCGACCUUCGCUGAAGGUUACACGGCGGGACAAAAGCCCGGGAGGA
rnacentral:sRNA from 2 species